GCCCUUGAAUACGCCCUGUAAAGCCCAGCGUGAAGAUACAGUUACUUGUUGAAUACUUACCUGUCUGUACGAGCUAAAAGCUAUUGCCCUUGAAUACGCUCUGUAAGCCCAGCGUGAAGAUACAGCCACUUGUUGCAUACUUACCUCUCUGUACGAGCUAAAAGCUAUUGCCCUUGAAUACGCCCUGUAAAGCCCAGCGUGAAGAUACAGUUACUUGUUGAAUACUUACCCGUCUGUACGAGCUAAAAGCUAUUGCCCUUGAAUACGCUCUGUAAGCCCAGCGUGAAGAUACAGUUACUUGUUGAAUACUCACCUGUUUGUACGAGCUAAAAGCUACUGACCUUGAAUACGCCCUGUAAAGCCCAGUGUGAAGAUACAGCUACUUGUUGAAUACUUACCCGCCUGCACGAGUUAAAAGCCAUUGCUCUGGAACCCGCUCAGUAAGCCUAGUGUGAAGAGUCAGUCACCUUGCUCAAUAUCUAUCUGUGAUACGAGUAAGAAGUUACUCGCUUCUGAUAUACCGGCGGACAUCCAGGGGCAUGGCCUAGUUACCUUGCUACAUCCUUACCGUUGUUCCUUACCUGUGCCCUCAGGGAUUUGGGUGUUACCUUAUAUCUACCUAGGAGGUCUAUGGGAGUGGAGGAGCUGUCCAGACGCUGGAGAAGAGAAGGGCGCCACGGGAAAUCAAGCAGUUAAGGAAG